rnacentral:rRNA from 1 species
GAUGAACGCUGGCGGCGUGCCUAAAACAUGCAAGUCGAGCGAACAGACGAGGAGCUUGCUCCUCUGAUGUUAGCGGCGGACGGGUGAGUAACACGUGGAUAACCUACCUAUAAGACUGGGAUAACUUCGGGAAACCGGAGCUAAUACCGGAUAACAUGUUGAACCGCAUGGUUCAACAGUGAAAGACGGUCUUGCUGUCACUUAUAGAUGGAUCCGCGCCGCAUUAGCUAGUUGGUAAGGUAACGGCUUACCAAGGCAACGAUGCGUAGCCGACCUGAGAGGGUGAUCGGCCACACUGGAACUGAGACACGGUCCAGACUCCUACGGGAGGCAGCAGUAGGGAAUCUUCCGCAAUGGGCGAAAGCCUGACGGAGCAACGCCGCGUGAGUGAAGAAGGUCUUCGGAUCGUAAAACUCUGUUAUUAGGGAAGAACAAAUGUGUAAGUAACUAUGCACGUCUUGACGGUACCUAAUCAGAAAGCCACGGCUAACUACGUG